AUUGAACGCUGGCGGCAGGCUUAACACAUGCAAGUCGAGCGGGGUGAUGGUGCUUGCACUAUCACUUAGCGGCGGACGGGUGAGUAAUGCUUAGGAAUCUGCCUAUUAGUGGGGGACAACAUCUCGAAAGGGAUGCUAAUACCGCAUACGUCCUACGGGAGAAAGCAGGGGAUCACUUGUGACCUUGCGCUAAUAGAUGAGCCUAAGUCGGAUUAGCUAGUUGGUGGGGUAAAGGCCUACCAAGGCGACGAUCUGUAGCGGGUCUGAGAGGAUGAUCCGCCACAAUGGGACUGAGACACGGCCCAGACUCCUACGGGAGGCAGCAGUGGGGAAUAUUGGACAAUGGGGGGAACCCUGAUCCAGCCAUGCAGCGUGUGUGAAGAAGGCCUUAUGGUUGUAAAGCACUUUAAGCGAGGAGGAGGCUCUUUUGGUUAAUACCCAAGAUGAGUGGACGUUACUCGCAGAAUAAGCACCGGCUAACUCUGUGCCAGCAGCCGCCGUAA
rnacentral:rRNA from 1 species